rnacentral:lncRNA from 1 species
GCCAAUGCAUCAUCCGGUGGACAAAAAUUGAACCUUGCCAGUGUGUGUGUAUAUAUAUAAAAUCAGAGGGUUAGACAAAAAGCAAACCUAAACAAACAGAAUGACUAACACCAAGAACCGACCACUUAUUUUUUUGGAUCAGAUUGGCCUCACAAUUGAAGGCCUCAAACUAACCCAUGGGCAAUUUAACUUUACAGUUUAGCAGGGCACACACAUGUAUUUAUAACACACAGUGGUGGCGCCACACUUGUACCGGGGGUUCACAUGCACCCCCUUAACUCUUUAAAAUUAUACUAAAAAAUCUACUUUUUAUCUGGUUUGAACCCCCGGAGAUUUAAGUUUUGCACCAGCUGUACACAUUUUUCUCUCCAACUCUCUAAACAUUUACAAGUGUCCAAUGUCAUCAUCAGUCCACAAUGUCCACAGUCCGUAGUACAUUGGAAAGUGUCGCAUAUAGAGCUGAACAAUUUUAUAGGUGAAAGCUCAUGAAUGGUUUUAUAUCUCACACGUCACAAUUGUUAAUAGUCCUAUUUUAAACAUAUAAGUAAACAAAAUAGGAAAAA